rnacentral:sRNA from 1 species
AGAUUAAAUAAAACCAGUUAAAUGAGCUGAAGUCCAAAAUGAGAUUUUAGGUAGACAUACCUAUAGGUACCAGAUAGUAAAUAUUUGGGCAGCAAAACAACAAAACCGUCUUCUUUUAAGGUACCAGCAGACAGGUGUUAGGUGGCUGUGGGAAUUGCACUGCCAGCAGGCAGGAGGAAUUCUGGGAGAUGAAAUGGGAUUGGGCAAGACCAUCCAGAUAAUUGCCUUCUUGGCAGGUCUGAGCUACAGCAAGAUCAGGACUCGUGGUUCAAAUUACAGGUUUGAGGGGUUGGGUCCAACUGUAAUUGUCUGUCCAACAACAGUGAUGCAUCAGUGGGUGAAGGAAUUUCACACGUGGUGGCCUCCGUUCAGAGUGGCAAUUCUACAUGAAACCGGUUCCUAUACCCACAAAAAGGAGAAACUAAUUCGAGAUGUUGCUCAUUGUCAUGGAAUUUUGAUCACAUCUUACUCCUACAUUCGAUUGAUGCAGGAUGACAUUAGCAGGUAUGACUGGCACUAUGUGAUCUUGGACGAAGGACACAAAAU